rnacentral:rRNA from 1 species
GAUGAACGCUGACAGAAUGCUUAACACAUGCAAGUCUUUGGCGAAGCUGUGCUUGCACAGCCUAGCCAAGGCGGACGGGUGAGUAACGCGUAAGGAACUUGCCCUGCAGUCAGGGAUAACAGACGGAAACGACUGAUAAGACCUGGUAAAGUCAGGCGGACUCAUGUCCAGCCUGAUGAAAAGAGAUGCUGCAGGAGAGCCUUGCGUCCUAUUAGCUUGUUGGUGGGGUAACGGCCCACCAAGGCGAUGAUAGGUAGCCGGCCUGAGAGGGUGGACGGCCACAAGGGGACUGAGAUACAGCCCUUACUCCUACGGGAGGCAGCAGUGGGGAAUAUUGGACAAUGGGGGCAACCCUGAUCCAGCAAUUCUGUGUGCACGAUGAAGGUUUUCGGAUUGUAAAGUGCUUUCAGCAGGGAAGAAAAAAAUGACGGUACCUGCAGAAGAAGCGACGGCUAAAUACGUG